rnacentral:rRNA from 1 species
UACGUAGGUGGCAAGCGUUGUCCGGAUUUAUUGGGUUUAAAGGGUACGUAGGCGGUCUGAUAAGUCAGUGGUAAAAUGCAAGGGCUCAACUUUUGCCUAGCCAAUGAUACUGUUAGACUAGAAUUACCAAAGGGUAGGGGGAAUUUGUGGAGUAGCGGUGAAAUGCAUAGAUACCACAAGGAACGCCAAAAGCGAAGGCAUCUUACUAGGGGUUAAUUGACGCUAAUGUACGAAAGCAUGGGGAUCAAACAGG